UGAGGCAGAGAAGAACGAGCGUGUGC
rnacentral:piRNA from 1 species